UGAAUUUCAGCCCAGUUAUUAUUUGAAAUAAUGUUUCAUCCAUUGUUAGGUUAGUAGCUCUAAAUGAUCUACAUAGUCCAGAAUUCUUUUCCUCUGACUGUCCCUGAUGGGCACAUUGUGGGACAGGGAGAGUUACGGAGACUUCCAAGUGAUUAAGGACAUAUAAGAGAUAGUAUAGCAAAUGAAAAAAGAGCACUCAUCUGGAAGUCAGGAUACUUGGAUCCUAGUCCAGGCUUGGCAUUAACUAUGUGACCUGGGCAGGUCACCUAACUACUCUGAAGUUCAUCAUCAGACAAGUAAGAUGUUUCUAAAGCUUAAUAUUUUUUCUGCUCCUGUAGUUCGGUGAAUCUCAUUUCUGAAAAUUCUCAAGGAACUGAUUUUAUAUAUUUUCAGAAAUGCCUGUUUUUAUCAAGACCCAUAAAGCUUUUUUGUAUGUAUAUACUCUACUCUUUUUCCUUUUUGAUCACAUUGUAACUACUCACCCAGAGGAGCUCUGGUCAGUACUUCCUUUUAUCCUAUGGACAACAACUCUUAAUGGCUGGCUUCCUUUGGGUGCAUUGAGCCAGUAUUCUUUUUUGUUUUGUAUUUUCAUACCUUCCCCUUUCCUGGACAAAGCAUAUUGAGAUCUUAAUCCAAAGAAGUGUUCCUGCCUUCAGAGUGAGCAAGCAUGGAUAAGAGUAUGGAUGAAACUUUUGUAAAUAGUGUUCUUGGCAUAAAUAUUAAUUACACAGCUUUUUAAUAUAAGGUAGUUACUAAAUGUAUACUUUCUACGAAGAUCAUGUAUUUAUUGCCAAGAUAACUAUAGAAUAAGCAUUUUCUGGGAAAAUUCACCUUAAAAUUUGGGAAUAAUUCAAGAAAUGUCUGUACAAAAUCGAUUCAUGGUCUUAGUUUUUGUGAUUAGUCCUUUCCAUUCAUGUGAAGGUCCUCAUUUAUCUAUCUUGGGGAGGCCCAAAGGAAAUAGUUGGGACCCUAUACUUGUUUUAUCCUACUCUUCCUAUUAAGUAAUGGUUUAAGAAUUGGGACGCCUGGGUGGCUCUGUCGGUUAAGCGUCUGCCUUUGGCUCAGGUCAUGAUCCCAGGGGCCUGGGAUCGAGUCCCACGUCGGGUUCCUUGCUCAAUGGGAGCCUGCUUCUCCCUCUGCCUGCCGCUCCCCCUGCUUGUGCUCUCUCUCUGACAAAUAAAAUCUUAAAAAAAAAAAAAAAAAGAAUACAUCGAGCACUUUGAUUUGUUGUUAAGUAGUAUUUAUGGGAUUCUAUUAAUUUAAUAUGCAUACCAGGUUCCUGUGAAGACCCAUAUUGGGCUGUGUUUGAUUUGUUUCUUUGUUGUAAUUCAGUGUUUAACCUAACUAUGCUAUAUGUCCAUAAAUGACAUCAUGAUUAGACAGUAUGGUAUAGUAGGAAAUGCACAGGUUUUUAGAGAGAGGUCUGCCAGAGUCCAGCUCCAGCCGGGGUGGGUCUCUCGUAGGAAAGGACGGUGUCGGCGAAUGAGGAGACACAGACACAGGAUCAGGUUGCAAGCAUCUCCUCCUGACAGCCUCGGAGGAACUUUAUUUAUAUGUUAAGAUAUUUUUGUUUUUCCAAAUCUUAGAUCAUUUUCUGGAUUAUAGCCAUAGCCUUCUUUCAUUUUUCCUUUGUAAUGAUUAACAUGACCUUUAUUGAUUUCUGCUUAUUGGCUUUCACUAAAACUAAAACACAGUACGCAAAGAGAAAGGUGCUAGACAGAGCGUGACCGUCUUGUUAUUUUGUUCUAUAGAAACUAAAUCUUCAUGGAAUUAGUUUCAUUAUGAUUGCUUAGAUAGGCGUAACUAAGAUGAGUAGUCACUUUAUCAUGAAACCCCAGAAAUAUUCCCACAAUUAUAAAGAUUGCCAUAAACAAAAUGAAAGAGAAUAGCAGGAGCCAGCUGUGGGGUCUCCUGUUUUCAGGAUCGUCCCCCAUACUUGGACUUUGUCAAACAGCAUGAGUAGCUUGGCUCGCACCAGAGGUCAGUUUCAUUACCUACCGUGCUGUAACCUUUCCAACAUGGCUGCUUUAGUGCACAACUUCAGGGCCAUCAUUCAUAUUUGUUGUGUUCCAGGGAGCACCAUUUUCAUAGAAUACAGUGUGAAUAGUCCCCCUGUAAUAGUGCAGUGAUGGCCUUGGUCUCUGAACCUAUUUCCUCUUCUGUAAAAUGGUGCCUGAAAAAUGGUCAAAUAGGGUUCCUUAGAACUCCUUAAAUGGUUAACGUGAAGAUGAAAGAGGAUUCAAGUGUGUCAUCUCCCAAGCCAUGGCAGAAAGUUCACGGUUCUAGGCAUAGCAAGGCUCCGUUCUACACUGCUACCCUCCAGUUCAACCUUUAUUGCUCUGCCAGAUAAGAGUUUGCCUGGAUUAUCAUAGCCUCCCCAUUGGUCUUGCUUAUGAGUUACUCCCUUCAGUUCAUUCUCUACACAGGAGACAAACUACCUAAAUUUCAUAUCUGAGCAUGUCACAGCCUUAAACAUUUAUCUCCAACAUGCCAUUCUGUUUCAAGCUUCCAUUCCUUUGCACAUAUUUUUACUAUGGUACAAUAUUAAGAUUAUUUAAUUUUCUUUAUGCUUUGCCCUCUAGAUCAUGAGCACCUUGAGGGCAGAUGGGGUGUCAUACAUCUUUUAUCUCCAACAUAUAGUAUAGUAACCAACAUGUAGUCUACUCAUGAUCAUAACUAAUACAGAGUGAAUACUUACCUGUUGGAUAUAGAGUUAUCUCAUUGAACUCUCAAACAGUCCAGUGGGACAGAUACUCUAUCCUACUUUUUUUAUUUUUACUUAUUUUUUAAGUAAAUUCUACACCUAACAUGGGGCUUGAACUCAUGAUCCUGAGAUCGAGAGUUGCAUGCUCUACUUUCCGUGCCGAUAGCACUCUUGCAAACAUGGUGAACAUUCCUAAAACCUGCCAAACUUUCUGCAAGAAGUGUGGCAAGCACCAACCACAAAGUGACACAGCACGAGAAAGGUAAAGAUUCUCUUUAUGCCCAGGGAAAGCAGCGUUUUAUGACAGGAAGCAGAGUGGCUAUGGUGGGCAGACUAAGCCAAUUUUCCAGAAAAAGUCUAAAACUACAAAGAAGAUUGUGCUGAGGCUUGAAUGUGUUGAGCCCAACUGCAGAUCUAAGAGGAUGCUGGCUAUUAAGAGAUGCAAGCAUUUUGAACUGGGAGGAGAUAAGAAAAAGGGCCAAGUGAUCCAGUUCUAAGCUUCGUAUUUUGUUAUAUUAUGAAGACAAUAAAAUCUUGAGGUUAUGUUAAAAAAAAAAAAAAGUUGCGUGCUCUACUAAAUAAGCCAGACAAGCGCCCCCAUCCUACUUUAAAGAGGAAGAAAAAAUGGUUUAGGGAAAGUGCCAAAGUUAUACAACUGAUUGGUGGGAGAACAAGGAUUCCAAUCUAGAUCUAUCAAAUUCUAGAGUCUAAACACUAAACAUCACCCCACACCAUUCAACAAAUGUUUACUGAAAUAAAAAUUAUGUGGCCUACAGAUAACCUCAUAUAUACUCAAAUAUCACUCAACAUUAGUCUGUAAGUCAAACCUAUCUUAAGACUUACUUAAAAAGUAAGUUUGAAGCUUUUUUAAAGUAGGAUUUGUAAUUUUUUGUAUAUUCAGGAAUUGACUUUUAUAAACUUAGAUAUAUUGCAUACCUGGGAUAGGAUCCUUAGUUGGAAGUGUUUGGGCAAAUCUCUUAGGUUGCAUAUGUUGAUCUCUUUGACACUGGUGUUUCUUCUGAAAAUUUUGCCACCUUUUAGGCAUACCUUGUCAAAAAUAUUCUGUAAACUUGAGCAAGAUGGUGAUGAAUUUAUCCUGCAGACACACUUUUUCUGUUUAAAUAUCAAACAAACAAAAAAAUAAAACAACUUUAGCAGUGCCUGGCUGGCUCAGUUGGAAGAGCAUGUGACUCUCGAUCUCAGGGUCAUGAGUUCGAGCCUCACAUUGUGUAGAGAUCAUUUAAAAAAAAUAAUAAGGUCAGUAGGUUAAGCAUCUGACUCCUGAUUUUGGUUCAGGUCACUAUGUGAGAUCGAGCCCCAUGUUGACUCCACACUCAGCAGGGAGUCUACUUCUCUCCCUCUCCUCCCUCUCUGCACCUCCCUCUGCUCGUUCUCUCUCUCUCAAACAAAUCUUUAAAAAUAAAUUUAAAAAACAAAAGUCUACAAAAAAAGUUAGAACUAAUAAAUUUGGCACAGUUGCAGGAUACAAAACCAGCAUACAAAAAUCAGUUGUAUUUCUAUACACUAAAAAGGAAAUUAAGAAAACAACUCCAUUUAUAACAGCAGCAAAAAGAAUAAUAUAGUUAGAAACAAACUUAACCAAGGAGGCAAAAGACUUCUACACUGAGGGGCACCUGGGUGGCUCAGUUGGUUAGGCUUCUCCCUUCAGCUUAGGUCCUGCUCUCAGGAUCUUGGGAUGGAGCCCCUCGUAGGGCUACCUGCUCAGCGGGGAGUCUGCUCCCUCUCCCUCUGCGCCACCCCCCGGCUUGUGCUCUCUCGAGCUCUUGCUCUCAAAUGAAUAAAUAAAAUUAAAAAAAAAAAAAAAGAAUAGAAAAUGUUUGCAAGUCAUAUAUCUGCUAAGGAAUUAAUGUCUACAAUAUAUAAGUAACUAAAACUCAAUAACAAAAAACAACCUAAUUCAAAAAUGAGCAAAAGACUUGAAUAGAUGUUUUUCCAAAGGAGAUACACGAAUAGCCAGUAAGCACAUGAGAAAAUGUUCAACAACACUAAUCAUCAGGGAAAUGCAAUUAAAUUAAAACUACAAUAAGCUACCACUUCACACCUAUUAGAAUGGUUAUUUGGCGGGGGGGAAGUGUCAGGGUGCCUGGGUGGCUCAGUUGGUUAAGUGUCUGACUUCAGCUCAAGGUCAUGAUCUCAGGGUUCUGGGAUCCAGGCCCGUGUCAGGCUCCCUACUCAGCAGGGAGUCCGCUUGUCCUUUUCCCUCUGCCCCUCUCCCUGCUCAUGCUCUCUCUCUCUCAAGCAAAUAAAUAAAAUCUUAAAAAAAAAAAAAGUGUUGGCAAGGAUGUGGGGAAAUUAGAAACUUUGUGCAUUGUUGGUGGGAUUGUAAAAUGAUGCAGUCACUGAGGAAGACAGUAUAGUGAUUCCUCAAAAAAUUAAAGAUAUACCAUAUAAUCCAACAAUUCUACCUCUAGGUAUAUACUCAAAA